rnacentral:piRNA from 1 species
UGAAAUUGUUUCCUCCAACGCUUCCAUGC